rnacentral:misc_RNA from 1 species
UUUUAAAUUCACGGUUGUUGCAUCGAAGUUUAACGAGUGCAGCGUAGAAGUACACAAAGGGCAAAGGAAGGAACGAGAGGAAACGUGUUGAUCCUUACUUCGAUCGAAUGGAAAAAAGGAAGAGAAAAUGGACGAUGAAUAAAGAAAAGUCGAUAUGGAAGGUUGUACUUUUCUGUCUGUUGGAGACCACAAUCUAUCGCCGAUGAUCAGCGCAAUGGAGUAAUUAACGUCCGUGAAUGAUCGACAGCCGACCAAUAGAAACACCCGUGUAAUAACUGACGAAUUGUUUCCUGUAAAAUGCAAGACAAUUCGAAGAAUUAUUUCGUACGGCUUCUGUUCACGGAAGAUUAGAGUAAUGGCUAGAAAUGAUACGAGAAAACGAUACAGAAAAAAACAUUUUUUGCAAAUAAAGGAAAAGUGGAAAUCGAAUGAAGAUACUUUAAGAUUUUUUUCCAAUAAUUUUUGAAUAAUAUUCUUCGUAUAAAUUGUUUCCAGAAAAAUAUAUUUCUAUGUAUAAAUUAUAUAAUUUGUGAUCGUUGGUAAUAAUUGUAAGCGCCGGAAAGUAGUUGGUAUGUGUGUAGUGACGCAAUCGCGAUAGGUUGUAUCCCGUUAAGUUUAGUUUAAGGAAAACUUGUGAGAAAAAUGCAAAUUAUUUUCUAUCUGCAAACACAAGUUUUAACAAUACUUUAUAAAAUAGUGCACUCGAGUUUACAUUUUUAUAUAUUUGAUUGAAAUAAUACAUCGUGAGUUUCGAUAUUUUUAUUUAUAUUUUACAGAUUUCUCUGGUAAUGAAACAAUAAAUUGGAAGUAUCGAUGUGGCAUUUGCCAGAAAGAAUUCGUUUCGAAGAAAGGAUUAAGAUAUCAUCGAAUGUUUCACACUGGUGAAGGGCUCCUGUCUUGCCAAUUCUGUAAUCGUCAGUUCAACUAUUCCAGCAAUUUGAGUAAACACGUCAAGAUUCAUACCGGAGAGAAACCCUUUACCUGUGAUUAUUGUAAACGGAGUUUUACGCGAAAAGAAACUCUGAUUGGACAUCUUCGUCUUCACACCGGAGAAAAGCCAUUCUCGUGUAAUUAUUGCUCAAAAAAGUUUCGUGUUCAAGCUAGUUUAAAAUAUCAUAUUAUUAAACGUCAUAAGAAUUAUAAAUGAUACUUUCUAUGAAGGAAAUUGAAAAAUAAAAAUGUAUGAAAAU